AUGAACGCUGGCGGCGUGCCUCAUACCUGCAAGUCGAGCGAACGGACGAGAAGCUUGCUUCUCUGAUGUUAGCGGCGGACGGGUGAGUAACACGUGGAUAACCUACCUAUAAGACUGGGAUAACUUCGGGAAACCGGAGCUAAUACCGGAUGAUAUUUUGAACCGCAUGGUUCAAAAGUGAAAGACGGUCUUGCUGUCACUUAUAGAUGGAUCCGCGCUGCAUUAGCUAGUUGGUAAGGUAACGGCUUACCAAGGCAACGAUGCAUAGCCGACCUGAGAGAGUGAUCGGCCACACUGGAACUGAGACACGGUCCAGACUCCUACGGGAGGCAGCAGUAGGGAAUCUUCCGCAAUGGGCGAAAGCCUGACGGAGCAACGCCGCGUGAGUGAUGAAGGUCUUCGGAUCGUAAAACUCUGUUAUUAGGGAAGAACAUAUGUGUAAGUAACUGUGCACAUCUUGACGGUACCUAAUCAGAAAGCCACGGCUAACUACGUG
rnacentral:rRNA from 1 species